AGAACCUAGUGCCCGACACAAGGGUGCUGUUGGCCCAGGCAAUUGCGGGAACAAAUAUGUAGCAGAUGCUGUUUGGGAUGCAUGAGAAACUCAAGCAAAGCUCAGCAGGAAGGGUCCUUCACUCCAUCUGACCUUUUGCCACAUGCUUUGGACAUGGAUAAAUCAAGUAAAAUAACCACAAAAGCUUCCUUUUUCACACCGAGCUUCACAUGUAAAAAUAAAUAAAUAAACAGCCUUCGGGGAAUGAGAAAAAUCCCUUUAUGGUACUCUUUUUAAAUACCUUAAUGAAUUUUGAAUGCUCAAGUUCAAUAAAUGUUUAUUACAUACCUCUCUAGAGAAAGGACUGGGCUAGAUACUGGUGAAGGAGUGUGUAUUAGUUGUAUUAGCUUUGUUCUCUGGAGAAACAGAAUCAUUAAAAUGACAGUGAAAAAUAAUACAUAGACAAAAUAGACUUAAUAGAAUACAAGUGAAUGAAUGGGUGGCAUCAGCAUGUGAUCAAUAAGUUCCUGGAAGCAGACAGAGGAGUGAUAAUUAAUAAAGGAGGGUUAGAUAAACCACAGCUUGGAGAAAGGGUAUGCAACCUUGGCUGCUAACUGGAAUCACGUGGUGAGUUUUCACAGCUGCUAAUCCCGACCCCCUCCCCGACUCCCACCCCUGGAGGUUUUAAUUGAAUUGGUCCAGGAGAGGCCUUGGCAUCCAGAUUUUUUUUAAGGCUGCACCCAUGGCAUAUGGAAGUUCCCAGGCUAGGAGUCCAAUCAGAGCUACAGCUGCCGGCCUACACCACAGCCACUAAGCAAACUCAUUAGGCAGUGGAAGAAGUCAUUGUAUUCUUUGAGAAUCUCUCAUCGAGUGUCGAGUGUCGCUGUCACCUUCCACUUCCCAGGCAGGACAGCAAGGUAGGAUUGGAGCCGCGUCUGCGACCUACACCACAGCUCACGGCAACGCUGGAUCCUUAACCCACUGAGCGAGGCCAGGGAUCAAAGCCACAUCUUCAUGGAUAUGAGUCGGAUUUGUUUCUGCUGCAUCACAACAGGAACUCCCAG
rnacentral:lncRNA from 9 species